GACGAACGCUGGCGGCGUGCUUAACACAUGCAAGUCGAACGGAAACGCCCUGCUUUUGUGGUGUUCUCGAUUGGCGAACGGGUGAGUAACACGUGAGUAACCUGCCCUUGACUUUGGGAUAACUUCAGGAAACUGGGGCUAAUACCGUAUAGGAUCUCCUGCUCCAUGGUGGGGGUUGGAAAGUUUCGGCGGUUGGGGUUGGACUCGCGGCUUAUCAGCUUGUUGGUUGGGGAGUGGCUGACCAAGGCUUUGACGGGUCGCCGGCAUGGGAGGGUGACCGGGGACAAUGGGACUGAGAGACGGAGCAGACUGGAAUGGGAGGCAGCAGUGGCGAAUAUUGCACAACGGGAGCAAGCGUGAUGAAGAAACGCUGGGUGCGGGAUGACGGCUUUUGGGGUGUAAACAGCUGUAGGCUGUGACGAAGCGGGAGUGACGGUAAUGGGUAAAGAAGCACCGGCUAACUACGUG
rnacentral:rRNA from 1 species